rnacentral:rRNA from 1 species
GACGAACGCUGGCGGCGUGCCUAAUACAUGCAAGUCGAACGCUUCUUUCCUCCCGAGUGCUUGCCCUCAAUUGGAAAGAGGAGUGGCGGACGGGUGAGUAACACGUGGGUAACCUACCCAUCAGAGGGGGAUGACACUUGGAAACAGGUGCUAAUACCGCAUAACAGUUUAUGCCGCAUGGCAUAAGAGUGAAAGGCGCUUUCGGGUGUCGCUGAUGGAUGGAGCCGCGGUGCAUUAGCUCGUUGGUGAGGUAACGGCUCACCAAGGCCACGAUGCAUAGCCGACCUGAGAGGGUGAUCGGCCACACUGGGACUGAGACACGGCCCAGACUCCUACGGGAGGCAGCAGUAGGGAAUCUUCGGCAAUGGACGAAAGUCUGACCGAGCAACGCCGCGUGAGUGAAGAAGGUUUUCGGAUCGUAAAACUCUGUUGUUAGAGAAGAACAAGGACGUUAGUAACUGAACGUCCCCUGACGGUAUCUAACCAGAAAGCCACGGCUAACUACGUG